rnacentral:siRNA from 1 species
AAUUAACCAAGGUGCGAACCUUGA